UUUCCGUAGGUGAACCUGCGGAAGGAUCAUUAUUGUAUAACCGAGGUGCGAGGGCUGUCGCUGACCCGAAAGGUCGUGCACGCCCGAGUGCCCUCACACACAUCCAUCUCACCCUUAUGUGCACCACCGCUUGGGUCCCCCUUUGGCGUGUUCGGAGGGGGGCUUACGUUUUCACACAAACUUUGUAUGCAGUGUAGAAUGUAUUUUUUGUUUUUGCGAUCACGCAAUCAAUACAACUUUCAACAACGGAUCUCUUGGCUCUC
rnacentral:misc_RNA from 1 species